rfam:Felis catus isolate Cinnamon breed Abyssinian chromosome A1, whole genome shotgun sequence.
GCCUGGUUGGCUCAGUCGGGUAGGCGUCUGACUUCAGCUCAGGUCAUGAUUUCAUGGUCCGUGGGUUCAAGCCCCACGUCAGGCU